rnacentral:rRNA from 1 species
CUAAGUACCCGGAGGAAGAGAAAGAAAAAUCGAUUUCCUAAGUAGCGGCGAGCGAACGGGAAAGAGCCCAAACCAGAAACUUGUUUCUGGGGUUGCGGAUAGAUCAUAAAAGAAGAGGUAUCUUAAUUGAAGAGGGCUGGAACGCCCUACCAUAGAAGGUAAUAGUCCUGUAGGUAAAAAGAGAAAACUUCGAGAUCUAAUCCAGAGUACCACGAGACACGUGAAACCUUGUGGGAAGCAGGGAGGACCACCUCCCAAGGCUAAAUACUACCUAGUGACCGAUAGUGAAGCAGUACCG